rnacentral:rRNA from 1 species
UACGUAGGGAGCGAGCGUUGUCCGGAAUUACUGGGCGUAAAGAGCUCGUAGGUGGUUUGUCGCGUCGUCUGUGAAAUUCCGGGGCUUAACUUCGGGCGUGCAGGCGAUACGGGCAAUACUUGAGUGCUGUAGGGGAGACUGGAAUUCCUGGUGUAGCGGUGAAAUGCGCAGAUAUCAGGAGGAACACCAAUGGCGAAGGCAGGUCUCUGGGCAGUUACUGACGCUGAGGAGCGAAAGCAUGGGUAGCGAACAGGAUUAGA